GAACCUGGAAUUGAGGGGAAGGUCAGCAAUUUUCUCAUUUGGCAAAACGGUAUCAGAAGACUUAAAUAUGUGCAUUUUUUCAGCCUUUUUUAGAUCCAUCACUGGAGUGCGUACACGCUCCAUACAUUCAUUAGCUGUUUGGUAAGAUUUAUAUUCAUUUAAGUUGGAAAAGCUCUCUAAGAUCACCAAGUCCAACUGUUAAUCUAGCACCACCAAGUCUGCCACUAAACCUUGUCCCUAAGCACCAUAGCAGUGGUUCAUUACAGUUCAUUUACAUUGGGUCUGUCCUGAAGAUGCAAAUCUGUGGACAUGCGCAGCUUGAACCACUUCUCAUACACAACAGAAAGAAACAGGAAUAUCUUGGAUCAGAUGGCUCUGGCUGGUUCACUGAUUAGGGUUUUCAGCAAUUCAGGACAUUAACUGUUAGAAGUGAUAUAGCUUAUCAAAAGAACAGGUAUCCUCUAAGACUAAUUCAAACUUUUGCUCCAGUAUUUUCUUGUUCUACACUGUCUGUGCUGUAGAGCAAAGGUACCUACCUAACCGUAGCCAUGGUUACGACAGUUUUUCAUAAUCCUAGUUGUUAACCAUUAUUUAGCUUCCCACUAAGCCAGUUUUGGAAUUCCGUAUGCUUAUUUUUGUCUGGGGUAGGGGAGUGAGGGGCAGCUAAUUAGCAAUUUGCUAUUUUUUUCCCUGUGAAGAAGGCUUAAAAACAAAGGGUAAAAAACAGUAUACUGUCUUGAUCUCUUAAAAUUUAAACUGAAAUUUUAAACGACAUGAUUUUUUUUUCUCUAAAAUAAUUAUGGCAUUUCAGUUGCUGCAUAAAUAUAUGCUUAUACCUCUCAAGUAAACAGAAUGCUUAAGAAAACAAGCAAGCUGGGAAAGAAAGAACAAUAAUUAAAUAGCUGGAGGUAUACUCAAGUGCUUUCCAGUACUGGGGACUUACAUGUUGUUCUAAUGGAGAAACCUCUGCUAGUGAUACCAAGUUGCUGUACACUGAAUUGCAAUUGAUUUAAAAUAGCAAUCCGUGGCAAAAGGAAAGGCAAACACCAGCCUACGGAAAUUGCAUGAAGCAUACACGCUGGCUAGUUACCUUCCUGCUCUAUGGAAUUACCUGACAAACUCAUAGCUAAACAGUUGAGUUGAUUUUUCAUCUUCAGGAGAAAAGGAUUCAAACUGUAAGUAAGUCCGUAGCUUACUCUAGCAUUCUUCUUUCCUGUUUUCCACACAACACAUGGCCAGAACCUGACUUUGAGUAUGUAAGUAGCUCACCAGACAGGUUAAGUAACUGAGAGACUUGCCCUCAGAUGCACCUGUCCAGCCAAGCAGCUAUUAUUCCUACCCCAAUACUAUUUAAGUCACAUUCCCCCUUAAGUUUACGGUCUGAUAGCUUUGAAAUCUUUACACACCCAAGUAAUUCAAUUAAAAUCAGCUGGAUUGCUUUUCUAAUGGAGUAUUGGUAUUUCUUUUACAAAUCCCACUAUGCCAAAGAAUAUGAUUAAUGUCUAUUUUUAAACUCUUUUAACGUGGAUAUGGCCUGGAACAGUAGACGUGAGAAAAUUCAGUUUCUGUAAUCUAGGAUACUUACUGACUUUUUAGCAGGUGCUUUUAGUUGCAGUUAGAAAGCAAAUUAGUUGAUUUUACUUACGUCACAGUUUUCAUGUAUUUCUAAUCAAGUUCUCCUUAAGGUUAUUAAAAUUAAUGGCGCAAUUAAUUACUCAAGUCAGAAUGUCAAUACCAACAAUUCUCAUUAGGUUUAGUUCAAUUUUGGAAAAAAAAAAAAAAGUAGAAUUCAUCAUGUAUACUUUAAGGUAUAACAACAAUAACAGAUAAAGUCUGCAUUUUGUUUUACUGAACACUCAGUUUAGCAAUUAAACCAUAUCAAAUCAUCAUUCUAAAAUCUUGAAUGGAAGAAGUUUAAGGAAAUUUAAAUUUAUAAAACAUUGAUGAAAACAGAACUGAAAGAGCCAUUUCUCAGUGGAAGAAGUGAGUAACCAUGAAAUUAGGACACACCGCUGUCAAUAUAGCUCUAAUCUUUUCAGAUUCUUUUCUAAGCUUCUUUUCAGACUAAUACUCUGCUGUGGACUGCUGCAGAGGUGUUGGCUGACUGUGAGCAUGCAAGGAAUGAACUCAUUGCAUCUGAACCUGAAUUCACUCUCUCAGCAAGUGAUAUUACCUACUUGUACAAGAAGUUGCAUGGAGCCAUCUGUGGGUACAGGGUCCUUUGAGUUUGGCUGUGGUUUGAUCGGUACAGAGGAUUCAAGUAAUCUGCACGAUUUUUCCACAAGUGAGCCCACAGUGAAUAUGUUCGUUCUUGGAUUCUGAAAAAAUAGAGUCAAAUGUAUAAACAUCUCAAGCACAACUCAGGUAUCAAUAAAGCUUGGGUAAGACAUUCUAGUGCUCUGCUUGUUUACAGUCAACUUUAUACUUCCUUAGCAGAAUAAGAUGUAUCCCUUUGUUGGUCAUUAACAGCAAAAUCCAAUCCGUUCCCCAUAAAGCCAGAGCAGCUGGAGAGAGAAUGUAGAGAACUGGGUUCAUUUUAGGUUUCCUCUGUAGAAGUCCUAGAAAAGCCCCAUGAACCUUCCCCCGCAGUAUGCAUGGAAGGGUGACGGACAGCUUGGUGCUUUCUUUCCUGCCCCACUGCUCUGCAACCCCUUUGUGGCCUUGGUGAAACUCGAGGCAUUCGUAACCCAUGCUUGUUAUGCAAGUACACAUGCUUGUUAUCAGUACACAGGCAGAAGCCUGACACGUAUAUGAACAUUGCCUGGCUACAGAAGCUGCGUAGUCACUUGUUCUCUCUACUCUGAGUUAAAUUCAGCCAUUGGAGGGCUUGUAAUUCUGAAAGCUGGCAACAACAGGUACUGUAUAAAAUAAUUGAGAUUGUUAAAAAAAAAAAAAAAAAAAAAA